rnacentral:rRNA from 1 species
UACGUAGGGACCAAGCGUUGUUCGGAUUUACUGGGCGUAAAGGGCGCGUAGGCGGCGUGUUAAGUCAGCUGUGAAAUCUCCAAGCUUAACUUGGAACGGUCAGCUGAUACUGAUGUGCUAGAGUGCAGAAAGGGCAAUCGGAAUUCUUGGUGUAGCGGUGAAAUGCGUAGAUAUCAGGAGGAACACCUGUGGCGAAAGCGGCUCACUGGACCAUUACUGACGCUGAUGCGCGAAAGCUAGGGGAGCAAACAGG